UGGGGAAUAUUGGACAAUGGGCGAAAGCCUGAUCCAGCCAUGCCGCGUGUGUGAAGAAGGUCUUCGGAUUGUAAAGCACUUUAAGUUGGGAGGAAGGGCAGUAAGCGAAUACCUUGCUGGUUUGACGUUACCGACAGAAUAAGCACCGGCUAACUCUGUGCCAGCAGCCGCGGUAAUACAGAGGGUGCAAGCGUUAAUCGGAAUUACUGGGCGUAAAGCGCGCGUAGGUGGUUCGUUAAGUUGAAUGUGAAAGCCCCGGGCUCAACCUGGGAACUGCAUCCAAAACUGGCGAGCUAGAGUAGGGCAGAGGGUGGUGGAAUUUCCUGUGUAGCGGUGAAAUGCGUAGAUAUAGGAAGGAACACCAGUGGCGAAGGCGACCACCUGGGCUCAUACUGACACUGAGGUGCGAAAGCGUGGGGAGCAAACAGG
rnacentral:rRNA from 1 species